UAUCCUGCCGGAGGGGAGCAUGGUAGAGAUGCAGGUGGUGGCUACCCUGCCGGAGGGGAGCAUGGUGGUGGUUACGGUGCCGGUGGGGGGUCAGGUGAAGGAGGUGGCUACGCUGCCGGAGGGGAGCAUGGCGGUGGUUACGGUGCAGGUGCAGGUGCCGGGUCAGGUGGUGGCUACGCUGCUGGAGGGGAGCAUGGGGGAGGUUACGGUGCUGGUGG
rnacentral:misc_RNA from 1 species